rfam:Populus trichocarpa isolate Nisqually-1 chromosome 13, whole genome shotgun sequence.
UAAUCUAUUUGAAGUAAAUAUUGAUUUAGUUAUGAAAAAUUUAUACCUAACUGCAAAAAAAUACAUGUUAUCACAAGCUCGAAUGCAUCCAACUACGUCACUAGUUCUAUUAAUUACUCA